rnacentral:rRNA from 1 species
GACAGAGGUGCCGAGCGUUAGGCGGAAUCACUGGGCGUAAAGCGUGCGUAGACGGUAGCGUAAGUCGGGUGUGAAAGCCCCGGGCUCAACCUGGGAAUUGCAUUCGAGACUGCUCUGCUAGGGUGCGGAAGAGGGGAGCGGAAUUUCCGGUGUAGCGGUGAAAUGCGUAGAUAUGACAUAGAACACCCAUUGCGAAGGCAGCUCGCUACACUAUUAUUGACACUGAGGCACGAAAGCGUGGGGAUCAAACAGG